rnacentral:rRNA from 1 species
GACGAACGCUGGCGGCGUGCCUAAUACAUGCAAGUAGAACGCUGAAGGAGGAGCUUGCUUCUCUGGAUGAGUUGCGAACGGGUGAGUAACGCGUAGGUAACCUGCCUGGUAGUGGGGGAUAACUAUUGGAAACGAUAGCUAAUACCGCAUAAUAGCAGUUGUUGCAUGAUAACUGUUUGAAAGGUGCAAUUGCACCGCUACCAGAUGGACCUGCGUUGUAUUAGCUAGUUGGUGGGGUAACGGCUCACCAAGGCGACGAUACAUAGCCGACCUGAGAGGGUGAUCGGCCACACUGGGACUGAGACACGGCCCAGACUCCUACGGGAGGCAGCAGUAGGGAAUCGUCGGCAAUGGACGGAAGUCUGACCGAGCAACGCCGCGUGAGUGAAGAAGGUUUUCGGAUCGUAAAGCUCUGUUGUAAGAGAAGAACGAGUGUGAGAGUGGAAAGUUCACACUGUGACGGUAUCUUACCAGAAAGGGACGGCUAACUACGUG